AUUGAACGCUGGCGGCAGGCCUAACACAUGCAAGUCGAGCGGAUGAAGAGAGCUUGCUCUCUGAUUUAGCGGCGGACGGGUGAGUAAUGCCUAGGAAUCUGCCUGGUAGUGGGGGAUAACGUUCCGAAAGGAACGCUAAUACCGCAUACGUCCUACGGGAGAAAGCAGGGGACCUUCGGGCCUUGCGCUAUCAGAUGAGCCUAGGUCGGAUUAGCUUGUUGGUGAGGUAACGGCUCACCAAGGCGACGAUCCGUAACUGGUCGGAGAGGAUGAUCAGUCACACUGGAACUGAGACACGGUCCAGACUCCUACGGGAGGCAGCAGUGGGGAAUAUUGGACAAUGGGCGAAAGCCUGAUCCAGCCAUGCCGCGUGUGUGAAGAAGGUCUUCGGAUUGUAAAGCACUUUAAGUUGGGAGGAAGGGUUGUAGAUUAAUACUCUGCAAUUUUGACGUUACCGACAGAAUAAGCACCGGCUAACUCUGUGCCAGCAGCCGCCGUAAUAC
rnacentral:rRNA from 1 species